UUGGAGGGCAAGUCUGGUGCCAGCAGCCGCGGUAAUUCCAGCUCCAAUAGCGUAUAUUAAAGUUGUUGCAGUUAAAAAGCUCGUAGUUGAAUUUCGGGAUCAAAUAAUCGGUCGUGCCUCCGGUACGUACUGGUUUUAUUGGUUCCUCCCUUCUGACGAACCAUGAUGUCAUUAAUUUGAUGUGGUGGAGAAUCAGGACUGUUACCUUGAAAAAAUUAGAGUGUUUAAAGCAGGCUAACGCUUGAAUACAUCAGCAUGGAAUAAUGAAAUAGGACGUUCGACCCUAUUUUGUUGGUUUCUAGGAUCGACGUAAUGAUUAAUAGGGAUAGUUGGGGGCAUUAGUAUUCAAUUGUCAGAGGUGAAAUUCUUGGAUUUAUUGAAGACUAACUACUGCGAAAGCAUUCGCCAAGGAUGUUUUCAUUAAUCAAGAACGAAAGUUAGGGGAUCGAAGACGAUCAGAUACCGUCGUAGUCUUAACCAUAAACUAUGCCGACUAGGGAUCGGAUGAUGUUAAUUUUUUAAUGACUCAUUCGGCGCCUUACGGGAAAC
rnacentral:rRNA from 1 species